rnacentral:lncRNA from 1 species
UCGGGUCGUGUUCUGACAGCUAGCACUCCACUCUUGUUUGCUGCGUGCGUUCGUCGCUUGGCCCGCUUGCUGUUCUCGCAAAAGCGCGGGGCAGAGGAGAGAAAGAAGCCUCUCGUUCUCCGAGAGAGACGCAGAGGCCGCAGUCAGGGCCUGGAUAUACUCGGAGGCUCGGCUUCUCCUCUGGGUGCUCCUUGUUGCUUCCAGGGAAAGUUUAGUCUGGAUCUGAGGCCUCGUGGCGCUCUUCCUGGUUUUUCAAUUUUGGUGGAGAAAUAGAGUUUGUGGUGAAGUAAAUGGCACCGCUGGAAUCCAAACCCUAAUGAAGCAGAGUCUCUUCUUAACCACUGUCUAUACUAAAGGUAAUUUAAAACAGGGUGCAGACAACAGGAAAGCAACAACUCUGGUUUGGUCACCGUGGUGGUCUUGCCCGGCACAUGGUGGGAGUCCAGCCAGAGCUGAUGGGAGCACCACAGGCAUCUCCCCUGAUGCAGGGUAAAUUGCAGAAGCCGUGGUACCAGCCCGCAUCCAUGACCCCACAGAUAUUCCCCUUCUCCAAGUGGACUGACCCAGGCCUUUUACAAACACAGAAGGAUCUUGUGCAAGAUGAAUUCUAGUACUAGCUACUAAAAGAUCUCUUCACACAAAAGGCAAUAUUCCUGAAUUUGUAUUGGUCCAGGCAUUCGAGAAUCAAGAUGUUUUCCUGUUUCCAUGGAAGCAGAGUUCAUUUGGCUGGGAUGUUCUGAGCUUUUGCUUCCAGACCUUUGAUGCCGGGGCAUGUUGUCUUCAGCAGAGGCUCCAGCCAAGUCAGAUGCCCACGUGUCUCUGCUUGGUGAAGCCGAAUGCCUCGCCAUGACUCUGGAGAAGCUCUUUAGGUGUCUGAUGCAGUGGGAAGAGCUGAGCCACAGCUUGAUACCAGUGUUGGGCCCCAGAGUCCCCAUAUGCUGCCUCUCAAGGGUGGUAUUCAAAGUGGGUUGUUGUUCUUGUUGUUGUUUUGGUCACAUCCCAGGCGUAACUGCAGUACAACAUCACAGCCAGGAUGCUGACAUUGAUAAUCCUCCUAUCUCAUUCACAUUUCCCCGUUUUACUUGUAAUGUGUGUGUGUGUGUGUGUGUGUGUGUUUGUAUUUAGUUCUUUGACGUUUUAUCACAUGUGCAGAUUAAUGUAUCUGCUACAGUCAAGAUAUAGAACACCUGAAUCCUUUGUGUUGCUCUUUGGUUCCCACCUCCUCCCCAUCCCUCCACCCCAACACCUGGCAACCACUGAGCUAGUCUCCAUACUGCAAAUUUUGUGAUAUCAUUUGUUACAUAGAUGGAAUUGCCUAUUGCAUAGCUUUGGCGGAAUGGCUUUUCAUUUUCCCCCUCAAAACAUAUUUCUUUACAAUUACUACAAGCUGUUGCAUGUAUCAGUAGUUUUCUUUCUUUCUUUCUUUAUUGCUUGCUUGCUUCCUUCCUUCCUUUCUUUUUUUUUUGGCUGAAUCAGUAGUGGCAGGCAGAAGUUCUGGGACCAGGGAUCGAACCCAAGCCAUAGCAGUAACCAAAGCCACAGCAGUGACAAUGCUGUACCCUCAACUCUCUGAGCCAGCAGGACUCUCCUCAAAGUGUGUUUUUUUUUUUUUUCCUUUCUUUUUAGGGCCACACCCACAGCAUAUGGAAGUUCCUGGGCUAGGGGUCAAAUUGGAGCUGCAGCUGCUGGGUUACACCACAGCCACGGCAAUGUGGGAUCCAAGCUGUGUCUGCAACCUGCACCAUGACUCACAACAACACCCAGAUCCUUAACGCACUAAAUAAGUGCAGGGAUCGAACCCUUAUCCUCAUGGAUACUAGUUGGGUUCAUAAUCACUGAGCCACAAUGGGAAGCCCCCAAAGUGGGGUUUUGGAAGAUAGUAGGAUUAUUCUAGGCUCAGAUUAAAGUCAGGUGGGUAAGCAUCAUUGCACAGGGAGGAAAAAGUGUGAGCCAGAUGGUGAAGGCAGGAAAGUUAGAGCCAUCUUUGGGAAGGAGAUGGCGAUAUUGUAGGAUCCAGCUUGGGGUUUGUUUGGGAGGGACAGCAGCAGGCUCUCUCCCUGCCUCGUGUCACUUCCCUAUGUCCUUCCUGUGAUUUGGGGGCCUCUGUGGUGCAUGGCCACCUGUAUGCAGGCAGCACCAGCAUCUUGUCCCUCUUGCUCUGUCUCAGGGCUCUCUCCUGGGUCCAGGAGAGCACUCAGCCUGCUUGCAGGAGCAUCUCAGCCCGCAGGCAGCCCCUAGCCCAGGGAGGAGGGUUGGUGGACCACACCAUGACAUGUGGUCUACACACGUCCUUUGAGGGGUGAGCCCGGUGCCCACAGUGGUAACCAGUGCGAUAAUGCUGUUUAACACUUUUGAUUCCCUCACACUUGCCUGGGCUCAUCUUGCAAAGAAGUCACCUGCAUGUGAUUUAUGAGCAUGGAGGAAACUACUGAAGGGUACGCGGUUGUUGGGAUGAUUGCUUGGUGCAGCGUAGGGAAGGUAAGCAGGAGAGGGAAUGGGCAUAAAAUAUACUCAAACCAAACAAAACUACCCAUUAGACACAGCAUGCUGAGUUUUUUUGUUUGUUUGUUUUUGUUUUUGCCUUUUUCUUUUUGCCUUUUAGGGCUGCACUUGGAGCAUAUGGAUGUUCCCAGACUAGGAGUUGAACCAGAGCUGUAGCUGUUGGCCUACACUGCAGCCACAGCAAUGCCAGAUCCGAGCUGAGUCUGUGACCCACACCACAGCUCAUGGCAAUGCUGGAUCUCCAAUCCAGUGAGCGAAGCCAGGGAUCGAACCUGCAUCCCCAUGGAUACUAGUUGAAUUCAUUUCCGCUGGACUGCGACGGGAACUCCCACAUGCUGGGUUCUUUGAUAGACAAUCUGUAAGGAAAAGAGAAAGGUAGAGAGGAAACCUAUGCCGAGAAGAAAUGAAGACUUCUCAAAAAACUUUUUAAUUAAAAAAAAAUUAUUGAUUUAUUUAUUUUUGGCCAUGCCUGAGGCACGUGGAAGGUCCUGGGCCAGGGAUUGAACCUUGCACCACAGCAGUGACAACAUCAGAUUCUUAACUGCUAGGCCACCAGGGAACUCUCAAAAUUUUUUUUAAAUGGACCAGACCAAGCUAUAGUGUUUAGGAUUUCAUAGUUGAGUGAUAAGACCAUAAAGAAACACAAAGAAGGGAGUAUCACUGAAGUCACAAUAGUGAUUACUUUUUUUAAAGGGAGACAGGUAGUGGCUAUCAUGGGACAUUUGAUGGAAAUUUCUAAGCUGCAAAGUUCUAUUUUUUUGAUCUGGGUGGUAGUUAUAAUAAUUCAUUGAAGAGUACAUUUAUUUUGAAUAGUUUUUCUGCAUUUGUAUUCUAUUUUACUUUGCAAAAGAAAG